UGGCUUAAUUGAGAUAGUCGCUACCUUGCAAAGGAGUAAAAAGUUUCGAAAGUGUCUUCAAAACAGCGGUAAAUGUUGUGAAACGACCCGCCGGAGUUUUAAAAGUUUAGCCCAUAACGUUAUUUUCAGGAAAAAAAAACCACAAACAAACAUAUUUUUGCCUCAACAAUGCCUCCGUUCAUCAGCGCAAAAAUAUUAUUAUUGGACGUUGGACUGAAGGCCACAACAACACUAGCAAACCGCCGGUAGGCGUCACAGCAACGCAGAGCGGCAGAGGGUGGGACACCUGCUCAACGCUGAGAGAAACAGCACCCUGUCAGCUCUCCAGCAGAUUUUCAGAGAGGGAAGAGAAGGGAGAGAAAAAAGAAGAGAAAUGACUGCGCAAGGGUUUCAAAACCAGUUUAUGUGUCCACACCUUGCAUGGAGGAAUCAGGGCAGUGUGUCAACUUUACCAUCCCUGCUUCCCACCCCCUUCACGUCUCUCACCCCUCACACCUCUGCCCCAUCUGACCAGGUGCCUCUGUUCAGUCGCCCCACUCGCGACUGCAGAUUUGCUCCUCAUGCAUUGGCCUCAUGGUGGUGGUGAAGCUCCUUCAGUGCUGACGCCGCUUGAUGAAAGGAGAAACACGCGCAAUGUAUUGCAGUGUGGAGCAAAUGUAAGAAAGCAGUUUUCCUGCGGGGAUCAUCAAAGUUCUUCUGAUUCUGAUGUUUCGCUACACAUGAUGACAAUACAGCUGUUGACACAUCGUGGGCUCUAUUUUUGGCAAAGUGAAACUUGUGUGAAGGGUUUACAGACUUUCUUCAUAGCCAUGCCCGUUUGGUAUUGUGGUGAUUUGCCAUGAACUUCACUGUGCAAAAUUGUCAGAAGCAAUGAAGUGACACAGGGCAAUUAUGGUGUCAACCAUCACUGGGAUUAGACCUUUCAUCACAUGGACCAGUAGUGUCACUGCUAUAUUUUAAACUUUAAUUCUUUUUGUUAAUCUUUGUUGCGCCUAACAUAUUGCCAUAGGCGUACAGUCCAUUUUGUUAUAGUUUCUGGUCUAGCCAUUUAGACUAUUGCUGUACUCAAGGGAAGCUGUAAUGCAUCUAAAUGGUAGUCUGUUUGCUUUUUCAGGCACUGACUGACUACAU